CGGAGCGGCGAUGACUCCCGGUCGACGAUGUUCGCUGGAACCGUCCGCGGUGGAGCUCGUGAGGAGGCGGCCGGAGGAGAAUGACGAGAGAGAGAGAUGAUGAACAGUGUUCUUCCUUGAUUGAGAGAGAGAGAGCCGAGCGGCUGAUAAUUGAGAGAGAGAGAGAGUGUUCUUGAUAAUUGAGAGAGAGAGAGAGUGUUCUUGAUAAUUGAGAGAGAGAGAGAGUGGCUGCUUUAAUAAAAAAAAAAGAAAGGGAGAGAACCGAUAAUUUAGAGAGAGAGAGGAGAAUUGUCGGUAGUGAGAGAACCGAGAGUGAAGAUUUAUGGGGAGAAUUUUUGGACUCUUUUAUUGGGCCAUCUUUUUAUUUCUAACUGGG
rnacentral:lncRNA from 1 species